CCUCAGGUAGUGUGUCGAACCAAGUUCCGUGGAGCAGCCAUCUUCGGAACCCCAAUCUCCCUUCGUUCACACGAACAGAGCCCCCUCCUCCGGCUUGCGAUCACUCUGGACAUGGACUUAUUGCCGGCGCCGCACCGCUACUUGUGCCCAGAGGUGGGCUGCCCACCGCCUCUACCACCGACAGCUUCUUUAGUCUACACACUUCAUUUAUUUUAACGAAACUUAAUCUGACGUCCAAAGGAGGCCACUUUGUGAGAACAGCUAGAAAUGAUCUUCAUUGAUGAUCACGUCCGAUUUCUUAUUGGUUUAAAGGUUUAAAAAAAAAAAAAAAAAAAAAAAAAAAAAAAAA